rnacentral:rRNA from 1 species
UUUGUAUAAUGGGUCAGCGACUUAUAUUCAGUGGCAAGGUUAACCAUCUAGGGGAGCCGUAGGGAAACCGAGUCUUAACUGGGCGUUCAGUCUCUGGAUAUAGACCCGAAACCAGGUGAUCUAGCCAUGGGCAGGUUGAAGGUUGAGUAACAUCAACUGGAGGACCGAACCGACUAAUGUUGAAAAAUUAGCGGAUGACUUGUGGCUAGGGGUGAAAGGCCAAUCAAACCUGGAGAUAGCUGGUUCUCCCCGAAAGCUAUUUAGGUAGCGCCUCGGACGAAUACUACUGGGGGUAGAGCACUGUUAAGGCUAGGGGGUCAUCCCGACUUACCAACCCUUUGCAAACUCCGAAUACCAGUAAGUACUAUCCGGGAGACACACGGCGGGUGCUAACGUCCGUCGUGGAGAGGGAAACAACCCAGACCGCCAGCUAAGGUCCCAAAUUACUACUAAGUGGGAAACGAUGUGGGAAGGCUCAGACAGCCAGGAUGUUGGCUUAGAAGCAGCCAUCAUUUAAAGAAAGCGUAAUAGCUCACUGGUCGAGUCGGCCUGCGCGGAAGAUGUAACGGGGCUAAGUAGUAAACCGAAGCUGCGGCAAUAUACUUUUGUAUAUUGGGUAGGGGAGCGUUCUG